rnacentral:rRNA from 1 species
GAUGAACGCUAGCUACAGGCUUAACACAUGCAAGUCGAGGGGCAGCGGGAUUGAAGCUUGCUUCAAUUGCCGGCGACCGGCGCACGGGUGAGUAACGCGUAUCCAACCUUCCGUACACUCAGGGAUAGCCUUUCGAAAGAAAGAUUAAUACCUGAUGGUAUGAUGAGAUUGCAUGAUAGCAUCAUUAAAGAUUUAUCGGUGUACGAUGGGGAUGCGUUCCAUUAGGUAGUAGGCGGGGUAACGGCCCACCUAGCCAACGAUGGAUAGGGGUUCUGAGAGGAAGGUCCCCCCACAUUGGAACUGAGACACGGUCCAAACUCCUACGGGAGGCAGCAGUGAGGAAUAUUGGUCAAUGGACGAGAGUCUGAACCAGCCAAGUAGCGUGAAGGAUGAAGGUCCUACGGAUUGAAACUUC